rnacentral:rRNA from 1 species
AGAGUUUGAUCCUGGCUCAGGACGAACGCUGGCGGCGUGCCUAAUACAUGCAAGUCGAACGAAACUUUCUUACACCGAAUGCUUGCAUUCACCGUAAGAAGUUGAGUGGCGGACGGGUGAGUAACACGUGGGUAACCUGCCUAAAAGAAGGGGAUAACACUUGGAAACAGGUGCUAAUACCGUAUAUCUCUAAGGAUCGCAUGAUCCUUAGAUGAAAGAUGGUUCUGCUAUCGCUUUUAGAUGGACCCGCGGCGUAUUAACUAGUUGGUGGGGUAACGGCCUACCAAGGUGAUGAUACGUAGCCGAACUGAGAGGUUGAUCGGCCACAUUGGGACUGAGACACGGCCCAAACUCCUACGGGAGGCAGCAGUAGGGAAUCUUCCACAAUGGACGCAAGUCUGAUGGAGCAACGCCGCGUGAGUGAAGAAGGUCUUCGGAUCGUAAAACUCUGCUGUUAGAGAAGAACACGAGUGAGAGUAACUGUUCAUUCGAUGACGGUAUCUAACCAGCAAGUCACGGCUAACUACGUGCCAGCAGCCGCGGUAAUACGUAGGUGGCAAGCGUUGUCCGGAUUUAUUGGGCGUAAAGGGAACGCAGGCGGUCUUUUAAGUCUGAUGUGAAAGCCUUCGGCUUAACCGGAGUAGUGCAUUGGAAACUGGAAGACUUGAGUGCAGAAGAGGAGAGUGGAACUCCAUGUGUAGCGGUG